rnacentral:rRNA from 1 species
AUUGAACGCUGGCGGCAUGCCUUACACAUGCAAGUCGAACGGCAGCACGGGUGCUUGCACCUGGUGGCGAGUGGCGAACGGGUGAGUAAUAUAUCGGAACGUACCUUAUUGUGGGGGAUAACGCAGCGAAAGCUGUGCUAAUACCGCAUAAUCCCUAAGGGGGAAAGCGGGGGACCGUAAGGCCUCGCGCAAUUAGAGCGGCCGAUACCUGAUUAGCUAGUUGGUGAGGUAAAGGCUAACCAAGGCAACGAUCAGUAGCUGGUCCGAGAGGACGAUCAGCCACACUGGGACUGAGACACGGCCCAGACUCCUACGGGAGGCAGCAGUGGGGAAUUUUGGACAAUGGGGGCAACCCUGAUCCAGCAAUGCCGCGUGAGUGAAGAAGGCCUUCGGGUUGUAAAGCUCUUUCGUCAGGGAAGAAACAGCAGCUCUAACACAGUUUGCGAAUGACGGUACCUGAAGAAUAAGCACCGGCUAACUACGUGCCAGCCGCCGCCGUAA